AUUGAACGCUGGCGGCAGGCCUAACACAUGCAAGUCGAGCGGAUGAAGGGAGCUUGCUCCUGGAUUCAGCGGCGGACGGGUGAGUAAUGCCUAGGAAUCUGCCUGGUAGUGGGGGAUAACGUCCGGAAACGGGCGCUAAUACCGCAUACGUCCUGAGGGAGAAAGUGGGGGAUCUUCGGACCUCACGCUAUCAGAUGGGCCUAGGUCGGAUUAGCUAGUUGGUGGGGUAAAGGCCUACCAAGGCGACGAUCCGUAACUGGUCUGAGAGGAUGAUCAGUCACACUGGAACUGAGACACGGUCCAGACUCCUACGGGAGGCAGCAGUGGGGAAUAUUGAACAAUGGGCGAAAGCCUGAUCCAGCCAUGCCGCGUGUGUGAAGAAGGUCUUCGGAUUGUAAAGCACUUUAAGUUGGGAGGAAGGGCAGUAAGUUAAUACCUUGCUGUUUUGACGUUACCAACAGAAUAAGCACCGGCUAACUUCGUG
rnacentral:rRNA from 1 species